rnacentral:sRNA from 1 species
AUUUAAAUAUUUUUUUUAAGUGCACAUGAACAAGAAGAAAACGAAGGAAAGAGCUUACGAAUGCAAGGAAAUUGGGAGGAGUUAGGAGGCUUUCAGCAAGGGGGGUGUGGUGGGGUGUGCGUCCCUGAAAAAUAUCGAUUUCGCUUGGCUUAUGGACUUUGGGCUGCCGCUUCCUCUUCCUCUUCUCAGUUUCUCAAUUCCUCAGUUUCUCAGUGAGUUGGUUUUUGUUUUGCUUGUCGCCUGCUAAGAAGGCAUUCACCUCAUUUCCCUCGGUGGUCAGAAAAAUGCAGCAAAAAAAAAAAGAAAAAAGUGGUCAGAGGAUCAUUGCAUAAUGCCCGCUUUUGUACGAGUGUGCGUGCGGAGAAGGCUUAUCUUCCCUCUGUUUUUGAAUGUUUUUUAAACGAAAGAGCUAACCUAAAUGAAUGGAAUGCCGCUUUUCAACAAUUGCGGAUCUUUACCCUUUAAAAGUGGCAUCCAAAAUAGGCGCUUUAAAAAUAUUGUUUCGAAUUUAAUAAAAUAGUACUAACACAUAUAAUUUUAAAGUCACAAAUCAGCAACUCGAAACCAAAAGAGUAUGUUAAGCACCAGCUUGAAUACUUCCCCUGUUUUCCGCUUAACUUUCUUUUCUUGCAUGGGACCAGUAAAAUCAUUAUUUCCCUGCUAAUUUAUGAUCGCAUCUGAUUGUUGCAAUUGAUCCCUCGGCUGAGAUUCGCAGAUCGCAUUACGUGCGAAGUAGUUUCUCGGUUGUUUUUUGUUUACUGGCCCAAGUAAUUUCUGAGCUAAGAAACGAAAACUGCCAAAAAUCGGUGAUAAAUUUCAGCUUCGUAAGUUCUUUUCUUGGUUCUUUUUUUUAGGUCUUGUAGGUUCCCUUGCUUAUCGCCAGAGUGUUUCCUUAAUGAGUUUUGGCGCUGUUCUCUUUUUUCUUCAUCGCAAUUGGCCAACUGUAAAUUAAUGUCACCGAAAUGGCAGCCAAACCAAUUUGCCGGCGGGGAGGAAAACCGCAUGGAGGGAGGGAGGGGAAACAAGCGACAAGACCGGGCCAAAACCGCUUGUCGAGCCUCUGACGGAUUUCAUGCCCCUGCCUUCCGAUCGCCCCGCGUGUCAAUUCGUCAAUUGUCAACAUUUGUCAGUCCUAAUAAGUUUUGCAAAUGCUUAGCAAAAUCUCAAUUUAUGCUCAUGUUUCUGUGGGGUCUGCGAAUGGGAAUGGGAAAUGGAGGUUAAGCGGAGGUUUACUGCUUCGGUUUCAGUUGGGUUGGGCCUUGGGACCGGACCCAUGGGGAGAGUUAUGCCCGCCUUGGGUUACUUGGGGAAAAUUAUGAGCAAACAUUUUGAUAAAGUCCAAAAAGGUUGCAAACUAGGCAACUUGUUAUUUAAUAGUCAUAAAACAAAUUUUAUUAGCUAUCCCAGAGUCCUAACUCUCUUACGAAACAAAUCAUUUGAUCGCUUGCUUAGUCGAGUGGAAACUACUUUUCAGGCGGCUAAUUGAAAUGAGUCUAGAGAUCGCCAAAUUAGCCAGUAACUACACUUCAUUCUACAUUCUGUAAUGGACUUAAAAGACCUUUCCUAGCCCUCCCACUCAACCAAUCUUCUCGUUUCUCGUCGCUCCCAUUACGGCCCAUCAGCAAUUUUCAAUUUACUUUUCAGCCAAAUCGAACCAGACAAGCACUGAAAGCUGGCCAUUAUCUCGGCUUAGCACUAUCCCAGCUAGGCCAAAAGCACGGCUCUUGACCAAAACAAGAUGGACUGCCUCAUUUGGUGGAUUUAUGGACUGCGAAUGGACCGAAGACUCAUUGUCCUGCCCUGGGGCUCCUCGAGCGCCAUGAAAUAUGAACGUGGAACCGAGGGACAGGUGACCAGCCGGCCAAGGCAGCUCGGAUAGACACCCCUUCCUAGAGCCACAUUCGCACGUCUGUGCAAUUUGCGGCAUGCAGCAAACUUUCACAUGGCCGCGCAGGCAAAUUAACAGGCCCCAAAAUAAAAGUAUAAAUAAAUUCACUCCACAAUGUGCCCCAGUAAGAGAAACACCCACCAAGUGCGGCUCCGACGAAAAUUAAGUCUCCUGCAGAAAUUCAAAUGAAAGUGAAGUGAAGAAUUGAUGGACACCGUGUUACCUUUCCCAGUACGCAGUACCCACUACCGUGACUGCUCAUGUGUGUGGCUGUGUGGGUGUGUGGGCGCGGCCAUUCCAAUCCACACACACUCCUGCACACACAUGACAAAUGCCUCGGAAGGCUCCAGCUCAAGGCCCCCACCCAAAACUAAAGAGCUCGCCAAUUUAAUUUAUGAGCCUAGCGAUCUCCUUGCGAUGACUAUCGGCCGACGAAGCGUAACGCCCUCCUGAAAUCCGGCGGCGGGUCCAAAGCGGUUAACGGUGAACAGGGUCCUAACUAAUGCGAUUAGUUAGAGCUUGAAAUACACCCAUUCGUUCCAUUGGUA